GGCAGCGCCAUUUUGAAUGUGUAGUGGCUGCGGGCUUGGGGAAGGUCGGGUAGCGCUGCUGGCUUGACCAUCUCGUGGUUUUGUUUGGCUUUCUCCUUUUCCAGUACCAUCUCCAUACGGAGGCACGGAGCCGCAGACAUAUCUGUAGGGUUGGCUGCGGGCCCGAGGCGAAGCCCUCCGAUGAUGUUGAGGGGAAACCUGAAGCAAGUCAGAAUUGAGAAAAACCCAGCCCGCCUGCGCGCUCUUGAAUCGGCGGCAGGGGAGAGUGAGCCGACGGCCGCCAUGGCGCUCGUGCUGGCUGGGGAGACCGCGCCACCCACUCCUGCUCCCGCGGAGGAGCGCCCGGACGAGGAGGUGGGCUUCACCAUCGAUAUCAAGAGCUUCCUCAAGCCGGGCGAGAAGACGUACACGCAGCGCUGCCGCCUCUUCGUGGGCAAUCUGCCUACUGAUAUCACAGAGGAGGACUUCAAGCGGCUCUUCGAGCGUUAUGGUGAGCCUAGUGAGGUCUUCAUCAACCGCGACCGCGGCUUCGGCUUCAUCCGCCUGGAAUCCAGAACGCUGGCUGAAAUUGCAAAAGCAGAGCUUGAUGGCACCAUUUUGAAGAGCAGACCUCUCCGGAUUCGUUUUGCUACACAUGGAGCAGCCCUAACUGUCAAGAACCUUUCUCCAGUUGUUUCCAAUGAGCUGCUAGAGCAAGCAUUUUCCCAGUUUGGUCCAGUAGAGAAAGCCGUCGUGGUUGUGGAUGAUCGCGGUAGAGCUACAGGAAAAGGUUUUGUAGAAUUUGCAGCAAAACCUCCUGCACGAAAGGCUCUGGAAAGAUGUGGUGAUGGGGCGUUCUUGCUAACAACGACCCCACGGCCAGUCAUUGUGGAGCCAAUGGAGCAAUUUGAUGAUGAAGAUGGCUUGCCAGAGAAGCUAAUGCAGAAAACUCAACAAUAUCAUAAGGAAAGAGAACAACCACCACGUUUUGCUCAGCCUGGGACGUUUGAAUUUGAGUAUGCAUCUCGAUGGAAGGCUCUUGAUGAAAUGGAGAAGCAGCAGCGUGAGCAGGUUGACAGAAACAUCAGAGAAGCCAAAGAGAAGCUGGAGGCAGAAAUGGAAGCAGCCAGGCAUGAGCACCAGUUAAUGCUGAUGAGGCAAGAUCUCAUGAGGCGUCAAGAAGAACUGAGACGCCUGGAAGAACUCAGGAACCAGGAGCUGCAAAAACGAAAGCAAAUACAACUGAGACAUGAAGAAGAGCAUCGUCGUCGUGAGGAAGAAAUGAUUCGACACAGAGAACAGGAGGAACUGAGGCGACAGCAAGAAGGCUUUAAGCCAAAUUAUAUGGAAAAUGAGGAUAAAAACAUGGAUAAAGCUACCUGAAAUUUGACGUCCAGCACAGAUCAAGUUUAGAGAUGAGGAUGUACUGGAGUUGUUUCCUUUCAGGUGUGGCCUCAGACCAGGAGUGUGAGCAUACUUGAGUUUCUCAGAAGUGCUGAAUCCCAGGACACACAGUAGAUUGAGUCAGACUGCCUGUUUCGACAAGACUCAGAGGAUUGGCAUGAGACUAAGGACCACUGAUAUAAAACUGAAGCAAAAAGCUGUGAACUAACUGCUUUUCAGGGAAUCAGGCCACAGUGUAAUGCCUCCCAUUUGUGAUGACUGGCUUAGUCGUGAGCUCGCUUAUGUCCAAGAAGAUUAAGUUCAGGUAUGUGUUCUGUGUCAUACAUAUUUUAUACAAGGAUAUUGCUUUGAUUUUCAGAGAAAUCACUAUCCACACUUUGUACAUAUAAGAAACCAAAACUUUCAGCACUUUCCACUCAGGGACAAGUACUUCACCUGCUAUAGAGAAGCUUUAGUUCUGAGCAAAACAACUGUAUUAAAAUUGUGUGACUCAUAUUCCUAAUACACACUGUUCACAGUUUACUAGCAUACCUGUCACAAGGCAGGUAGAAGCUGACACAGACAAGGUUUUACUGAUUUUAAACCUGUAUGUUCCCUGUUUGUCAAAAUAACUCGCCCAUUUUCACAUUCUGCCCUUGCUGACUUCACAGAGCUUUAUUUCUCUGCCUUAUCUCCUAAAGGAAUUGUGCUCAGAUUCUCUAUUUUUCUACCAUCCUAGAUAGCCAUGCCUCCUGACAAAUAGUGUAUGCUCACUUAAUAUGUUCUUGUAAGGUUGUAGGAUUAUCUUAGGGUAGGAUUUGGACAUAAUGGAAAUUUUCUUAAAAAGCCCAUUUCUCUUAUAUGUGUUCCUUUUCUGUGCACUGUUGCUAACCCAAAUCUCAUUAACUGUUUUCUAGAAAGCUAUGAAUUUGUAUACAGUACUAGUACAAAAUUCAAUCUAGUUGAAGGAGUCCAACGCCAGCCACCAUUUAGCUGAAAAUCUAUAAUACACACUGCAUCUCAAAACAAGGUGGGUACCAAAAGAAAAUGGAAAGACCAACACUGUGGUGUUUUCUUGAGGAAACUGUCAAGAAGGGCAGUUUUAGUAUGUAAAGUAAAAAUGGCUAAUUUGUAAACAACGAUGGGUCUAAUACAUGAUAUUCUGAAACGUUUUCAUUAAAAUUAGAACUCAUAAAACUAACCAAGAAAUAAAUUUUAUGCCUUUCCAUAGUCCAUACUGAGUUUCAUUUAUUACUUUGCCAAAUAUUUCUUAAAAGAAUGCAAAAGUCAGACCUAUGGAAAAGUCCGUAGGAACAAUAACCCCACAUGAGCCUCACUGGCAUAGCUCAGCUGACUAUCCCAGUGUUCAAAAUAAGGAUAUUCCCUUUUGGGCCACUAAAAGGGAAUAUCUUUACUUUGUUUUGGUGGACACUUUCUUCUAUUUCUUACUUUCUUUUUCUCUUCAAAUAAGGGAUAACUGGAAACAUACAAAGUUGUCACCUCCAACUUGGAACAUGUGGCAAAUUAAAAAUAGAUCAGACCUCUUCCCUCAAACUUCAAGGGUGGCAAAUUCAUGCUUGGGGACACAGAUUCACCUAGGGUAGUAGAAAAUUUCAAGCUAAAAAUUUUCUUGACCCUCUAUGUACUAUUCCACGUUGUGGAAAACUGAAAUACGCAGUUUGGACACAACACUGAUUAUUGAAAACUGGCACAAAGGACGUACAUUUCUGUAUUUUAUGAUGUAUAGAACACACUAUAGAACACACUAUUCUUAAGAGACUUAAACUGCAUGAGGUUUACAGAUGAAACUUUAAAUCUGGAAGUGUUAGCAGUGCCAAGAAUUCCAAACUGCUUGUAACAAUAUUUAGCAAUGCACAGGUUUGAAAGCCAGUCCAUCCUGAUUCAUUGUUUGGUCAUUGUAGCUGCACUCUGUACGCACCUAUUAGCAGUUUUACCUAUAAAAAGAAAACAAGGCAUAGGGAUCAGCACAAACAUAGGUCCCCUUAUACUUCCAAAUUAAGUAGUUAUCAAUCAGGUAUUUCAAUGUUUUAAUUAAAAUAGUCAUGAUCUAAAUGCUUACAAUUUGAACUUUUGUUAUAAAUACCAAAGCCUAGAAGAGAACCCAGACUGCUCGACACUAUAGAGAUGUAGUACACAGGUAUGUGUACAUAUAUCCGUCAUGUUUUAGAUUCAGAAAGGGGCAUGUCGCACGGACUGCUACCUGAGGGAGCACUGGUCUCUAGGAGAGGUAUACCAGGAAACCACAUGAGAGAGUCAUUUAGAAAAACAAUUCAAGUAGGAAUACUGAAUAUGGGGAAAGGCUUCUCACCUUAGCAGUGGGUGCUUCUGUUAACCUUAUGAAGAGUUUAUUGAGGCCUGCAACAGGGCUGAAUGAGUAAACAAAAUGACUAUCC